rnacentral:lncRNA from 1 species
UGCUGAUUAUGGGGUGGAUCCCUGGAUAUGGCAGUCUCUACAUGGUCCAUCCUUUCAUCUCAGCUCCAAACUUUGGCUCUGUAACUCCUUCCAUGGGUAGGAGACAGGUUUUCUUUCCAGGUGUGGUUUUAGGCCACACAGGACAAAAAGAUAUAGAGCCUUUUGUAGCAGUAAUUUAGAGCAAUAAGUAGAGGACCUGAGUGGUUCCUAUGGCAACCGAGAAUUAACAGGACAAAAAGAUAUAGAGCCUUUUUGUAGUAGCAAUUUAGACCAGUAAGUAGAGGACCUGAGUGGUUCCUAUGGCAACUGAAAAUUAGAUCCCAGAAAUGCAGAGCCAUGAGAACAAUAUAUUUGGGGCUUGUUAGCAUUGAGGGAUAUCAUAAGUUGGAUUUGCUUUGCUGGUUUGUUUGUGUAUUUGUUUGUUGGGUAUUCCAAUUAGACCUGAAGUCACAAUCCUCCUCCUCCUCUUCCUCCUCCUCCUCUUCCUUUUCUUCUUCUCCUCUUCCUCUUCCUCUUCCUCUUCCUUCCUCCCCAGUCCUGAGAUUAAAGUUAUGUAUCAUCACCCCAAGAUUUUCAUUUUGUAUGUGUAUGAGUGAGGCAGCUAUGUGAUCCAGGCUGGUCCUGAAUUUACAAUCGUCAUGCUUCACUCUCUCCAGUGUUGGGAUUAGAGUGGUACACUGUUAUACCCAGCUAGAAAGGUGGAUUUGUACAAAACCCUCAUAAAUGCCACAGGGAGGUGCACUGUGGGAGGGUUGGUGGCAUAGCUAGAGGAGUGGAAGGGUAGGGUGGGAUGGUUUCAAGUGAGAACAGGUGCUGUACAGGAGAGGAUGGGGCAGGGCUGUCCUUCAGAGAACAAGACUUUGACAAAGCCUCAAAUCAUGAUUUUAUAUUUACCUAAAAUUAUGAAUUAUGUAGUGUGUGUGUGUGUGUGUGUGUGUGUGUGUGUGUGUGUAUGUAUGUGUAUUAAACGAAGUUAAGCCACUUCGACUGACAUGUUUUCCACUAGAACCAUAGGCUAACAAAACUUCAGUACCAGGCACAAGAAACCUCCUUUCAAGUGGUUGGCCAGGGUAGUUCUAGUGACUUCCCAAAACAAUACAGAUUAUAGAUAUAUCCUUUGGUUGCCUCUCACCAGUUAGGAAGGUGGGCUCCUGUUGCUGAAGAUACAAUACUACACACUCAGAACACAUGGUUUGGAUAACGUGAGCUGGAUGUGAGCUUAAAGAUUCUUUCCUGUGGUCUAGCUUUCACUGUUUCAGAAAAUACUAUUCAGGCUGCCAAGAGAGGGCAACUAUUAAACACCCCUACCAAUCUGCAACUCCUAUGAACCACGACAGUUACCAGCAUGGAAGGAUAGUAGAAAGAUGCAAUAAAUAAGUGGCUCUCAUAUCAUUGAUGGCAACCAAUAGCUGUCUAAUUGGUCUUAAGGCCCACUCAACAGUAGAGAAAUCAUAUCUGGUAUAGGAAACCGAGGCAGCUUCUCCAGGAUAAUGAGGGCCCGGACUUUAGAAAAGAAUCUACUACCACCAGUUUGCUAGAUAAGCAUAAUUCCUUUUACAUUCUAAAUCUGAUCCUUCUACCCACAGAUAACUGUAGCUACCCCUCAUCAAAGAAGCCUCCCUUUCCAACCAAUGGGAGCCGUCAAAGAAAACCACAACUGGCUAUAAUGUAGCGAUCAACAAAUCAUGGGGAACCCAGCCCCAACAGAUAUACCCUCAGCACAGCUGCUGCUUUUAUAUAGCUCAGGGAACAUUGCAGAAGAGGGGCUGUAAAGAUUCUAAGAGCCACAAUAGUAGGAAGCCUGCUGUCAGCAACCAGUCCUAGAAAUGGCUGUGUAACAGGAGCAAUGGCAUUAUUGGUGGCAUAUGUUAACACGGAAGGAGGAAAUUUUGCAGGGUCUCACCCCUAGGCAGAGAACUAUAGGCAGAUAUGUUGGGAGAAGGAGAAUUAGCCUCUCAGGGAUGUGCCCUCUUACUAGUUGCCCUAGUGCUGCAUGGUCAGCCUUGAAACCAUAUACACAUAAACAACAACUGACUCAGAAGGGUGUGUGUGUGUGUGUGUGUGUGUGUGUGUGUGUGUGUGUAACAAAUAUAAUCGAACUGAGAGUGGGGAUGGAGGUGCUGAAGGGAAUAAACGAGAGGGAAGUAAUGUAUUUUUAUUUCAAUAAAACCAUUUUUUUAAAAAAAUUAAAAAUUUAAAAAGUUUUUUUGAUUUUUAAAAAAUAUUUAAGCAUUUCAUUUACAUUUGCAUUGUACUCUGAUAGUUGACCAAAUAGUAAUACCUAUUAGAAAUUUGGACAGUCAAUAAUUUGGCUAUAUUUUUCUCAUUUUAAGAGGAUUUCUUGGGAAAUGUUUUGGUGCUGGGGUUCAUAUUUUUGUUGCUGUUUUUUUAAAGGUAAAAGAAAUUCUGCUCCUCCCCUUAGCUCUUUUCACUCUACCUGACUCCAUGAUAAGACAGUCUUGUCAGGAAUUCUUCAGACUUAGGGUGUGUGUGUGUGUGUACUGUGUUUGUCUCUCUGUGUGUGUCUCUGUAUGUAUGCAUGCAUGCAUGCAUGCCUGUGUGUCUGUGACUGUGUGAGUUUGUAUAUGUCUAUGUAUAUCUCUCUGUGUGUGUCUCUGUGGACCCUUUAGAAUUUAAUGCGAAUACACUAGCAGGAGCUAGUACAUACAAAGCGUGGGCUUUCCAAAGGCAGGGCUUCCAUGAAUAGUACCUGCCUCUGUCUCCUCUGUAUCUCAUGCCUUUUCCCCACCCUUACUUUAGUAAGACAGGAAGGGAAGGGGCAAGAGAGCAAAAGAAGGUGGUGGAUCAUGCUAUGACUAAUCAAGAAUAAUAUAUCCCAGAAAGAAAGAGAGGUGGGAUGGAGUACAAAGAAAGAUGUCUGUGCUGCUGAGGAUGUGACUAGUCAGGACCAAAUUGAUGCAGAUAUAAAGGCAAAGAUACAUAAAAGUAGACGUCAUCUCACUCCCCCUCACCAACAGACUUCGCUAAUGUUUGGGGGUGGGGUGGGGUGGACUACAAUGGCAGAGAAGUAGACUGCAGUAAGAAGAAAAACCAUUUUGCAGCCUGCUUGCUUUAGUCCAGUAUUUUUCCAUUUCUCUCUUCUCAUGACCAGAAGUCUAGACAGGAAGCAGAGGUCGGUUACCAAGGAAACUGAAGCUGAGUGUGCUUGAUUGGUUACCUUUGAGAUAAAAACAAAAUUGCUAUUCAAAAUGUAAGCUCUUGUGGAGGAUGGGCAAAUACUAAGCAUAUAGACGUCUAUUAAUCCUUAUAAUUAUUUUGUAGGGAAGCAUGCACAAACACUUGCGCGUGCGCGCGUGUGCACACACACACACAAAACAUUUUCCUACAGGGUUAAUUGGGAGUUGCUCUUCAGAAAGACCUUGAAUUCUGCCUCUGGUCCCUUCUAUUCUUUCUGCCAGCCCCAUACUCUUAGUGUCUAAUUGUACCCCAUGUCUGAGUCUGAUGAAAUCCUGACAAGACUGUCUUCAUGAAGUUAUCUGGGGUGGGGGUGGGGGUUGAGCUUAGGGUGGGAACAGAAUUUCUUUUAGCUUAAAAAAAAAAAACCCAACAAAGAUAUGAACCAGACAUUUCCCAAGAAAUCCUCUUAAAAUGAGAAAAAUAUAGCCAAACUAUUGAUUAUUCAGAUGUCUAAUUAAGAGGUAUUAAUAUUUGGUCAUCUAGCAGACUGCAGUGCAAAUGUAAUUGAAAUGCUUACUUUGCCAUUCCUUAUACGUUGCUGCCCCUAGUGUAAUAAAUAGUAACUGCAUCUUCUGGACUGCUGAAGGCCAUUAAAGUCCUCCCAUCCUCCAUUUGAAUGUUAUAUACAGAACUUUAGACGUGUAUCUAUAUUUUUCAACACAGUUGAAUAUAUCUGCUAAUGUUUUUUAUUACAAAAGACGAAAAGAGGUGGUCAGACAGGGCCUUCUGAUUCUUCUGAUGCGGAAAUGAUCUGUGGCAACUACUUUCUGAUAUGUUUGUCUGAGAAUCAGUGUUCACUUUUGACAAACACACCCUUUUUAUACUCUGAAAUAACUUCAGAAGAUCCAUGCUGAUGUCACAUGUGUCCUAAUAAUGAGAUUUCCAGGGAAUUUGAAAGUUAAUGUGAAACCACUUUAAAGUUUUAUGCAAACAAGGUGUAUUCAUAUCUGUCUACAGUGUCUUCUAAGAUUAAGACUUGGCCGUAGACUUGAGUAGGGGUGUGUGUGUGUGUGUGUGUGUGUGUGUGUGUCUGUCUGUCUGUCUGUCUAUGUGUCUGUCUGUGUGUCUCUGUAAGCAUAUUCCAGGAAGUUGAGCUUACAGUGAUAAGAAUGCAUAAUGGGUUGGGGAUUAAACCUAGCCUCCUCACAUGCCUUAACUGUCCUAAAAUUAGCUCUGUAGACAAAGCUGGCUUCAAACUCCCAGAAAUUAUCUGCCUCUGCCUCCUGGGUGCUAGGACUGAAGGUGUGCACCACCAUUGCUUGACUCAACCUGUUUGUUUGUUUGUUUGUUGUUUGUUUGUUUGUUUUGAACACAAAUCAGGACCCAGGAUUGGCACCAGACAUAGUGGGCUGGGCUGUCUUGAAUCAAUCAUUAAUUCAAGAAAAUGCCCUACAGGCUUGCCAAUAUGCCAGUCUGUUGGAGGUAUUGUCUCAAUAGAGGUUUCCUCUAAAAUGACUCUAGCUUGUAUCAAGUCUAUCAAAAACAAACAAACAAACAAACAAACAAACUAACUAACUAACCAGGAUAAUAAGGAUGGGGGACCCAAAGAGACCCCCCAGGACAGGAAGCAAGGUUUUAUUAAUACAAAGGCUAGAGGCGGAAGGUUUUCUUCCCUUGUUCCCUUCAGCAUUUGGUAUGGGGAUCAGUGUAAGCCAUCAGUGAUUUACGAAUAAGCAAGAAACCCCACAGCCAAUGUAUGAGGACACAGAAGCUUUUCUUUUCCUUCUUAUUUGUAAGCAGCUGUCGCUCAGCUGAGCUGACCCGCAUGCCUGUUCAGGAGGUGCAAUAAAGGCAGAGCUGAGAGAAACAGCAUAGGUUCUUGAGGUUCAGGUAUGUCCUAAUGGGAAUUAUUAAUAAGCAAAAGGAAGAUAUAUUUUCUUUCAUGUAAAGCUUGCUUAACAAUUCUAUAUAAAUAUGGGCUAAAAUAGAGCAUGGUUGUUGAAAUGAGUCUUGAAAUACUUGCUUUUGUUUAUUUAUUUAUCUUGGGUUUUUUUUUGUUUGUUUGUUUGUUUUUGAGACAGGGUUUCUUCAUGUACCCUUGCCUAUGUGGGUACUCACUCUGUAGACCACGAACUCCCAGAGAUCCACCUCCCUCUGCUUCCUGAGUGCUAAGAGUAAAAGCUUGAGCCACCACCCAGCGAGAUACAUGGUUUUUAAAACUUAUUUCUCCCAUUACUGCCUGGCUUCUCUCCUUUUCCUGUGUCCCUUUCUCUAAUAAUUCAUUAUGUCUUUGUGGUUAUCUGUACAGGAAGAAUCACUUGUGUGCACACGACAAAAGCCCUUUGAAUGAACACGUAAGCGUCUCAAUCCAAGAUUGUGGGUGUAUCAAAAUGGAUCUGCCUUCCAUUUUGUAUUAUACUUGACAUUUUCUCCUUAAUGGUUUUGAUAGAUUCUGCUUUGGUCUCCCUGGCAACGAUCUUUAUGUCUUUGUUUCAGCCUCUUAGCACUGAACAGCAAAGAGGAAAGUAGGCUAUUACCUGUUCCUGGUUGCUAAGCACAGUGUUCCUGCCUGGGCUGAGUCACUCAGGAGAGAUUAGAAGUGGAGCGGUUACUAAGACAACGGAAUCGCACAUCCAUUUCCUCUGUGAGGCCCCUUUUCUUCAUACAUUUAUAUCAAGUAAGAAAGGGAGGGCUCUGGGAUAAAAAUACUGGCAGUGAACAAAGAAACAAUGUAAAGAUGCUUUCCUACAUUUCAGUAAUGGUGGGAUUGUUUUAGGAAACCAUUUAAAGAACAAAAAAAAACAUUAGAAUGAGAAGUUCUUUAUAACAUAUAAUAACUGACAUAUACUUGAGAGAUAGCAAAAUAUAAUAUCAGGUAAUGUCAAAAAUAAUGGCACUAUAAAUGCAGAGGGUUCAUCUACUGUGGGGCAUGAGGGAACAGUGAUGUCUGGGCCCCGUCCCCAGAGAUACUUAUUAAGUAAUAUGGUAUAUGGCCAUGGAAUAAGCACCAGUUAAAAAUUCUGUGUAUGGAAAUCCAAAAUGGAAGCUGCCAUCUAGAGGCAAAACCAAUCUUUAAGGAUGUUGUAGCUUAUCCACCAGAGGAGACUGCUCAAAUGUGGGUUUAAGUCAAUAGAAAGUCUUGCUGGGCGGUGGUGGCACACACCUUUAAUCCCAGCUCUUGGGAGGCAGAAGCAGGCGGAUUUCUUAGUUUGAGGCCAACCCGGUCUUCGGAGUGAGUUCCAGGACAGCCAUGGCUAUACAGAGAAACUCUGUCUCAAAAAAAAAAAGCCCAAAAAAAAAGAAAAAAAAAUUACAAGAAAACGCAAUCAAAUAGGUGAAGGAAAUGAACAAAACCAUCCAAGAUCAAAAAAUAGAAAUAGAAACAAUAAAGAAAUCACAAAGGGAGACAAACAUAGAGUUAGAAAACCUAGGAAAGAGAUCAAGAGUCGUAGAUGCAAGCAUCACCAACAGAAUACAAGAGAUGGAAGAGAGAAUCUCAGGUGCCAAAGGUACCGUAGAAAACAUUGACACAACAGUCAAAGAAAAUGCAAGAAGCAAAAACUCCUAACCCAAGGAGUUUCUACAUCCAGCAAAUCCAGGACACAAUGAAAAGACCAAUCCUAAGGGUAAUAGGUAUAGAAGAUAGUGAAGAUUCCCAACUCAAAGGGCCAGUAAAUAUCUUCAGCAAAAUUAUAGGAGAAAAUUUCCCUAACGUAAAGAAAGAGAUGCCCAUGAACAUACAAGAAGCCUGCAGAACUCAAAAAUAGACUGGACCAGAAAAGAAAUUCCUCUCAUCACACAAGAAUCAAAACACAAAAUGCACUAAAUAAAAAAUAUUAAAAGCAGUAAGGGAAAAAAGGCCAAGUAACAUAUAAAGGCAGACCUAUCAGAAUUACACCAGACUUCUCACCAGAGACUAUGAAAGCCAGAAGAUCCUGGGCAGAUGUUAUACAGACACUAAGAGAACACAAAUGCCAGCCCAGGCUACUAUACCUGGCCAAACUCUCAAUUACCAUAGAUGGAUAAAACAAGAUAUUCCAUGACAAAACCAAAUUUACAUGUUGACUUUCCAUAAAUCCAGCCCUACAAUGGAUCAUAGAUGGAAAACUCCAACACAAGGAGGGAAACUAUAACCUAGAAAAAGCAAGAAAGUCAUCUUUCAACAAACCCAAAAGAAGAUAGCUAUAUAAACAUAAUUCCACCUCUAACAACAAAAAUAACAGGAAGUAAUAAUCACUUUUCCUUAAUAUCUCUUAACAUCAGUGGACUCAAUUCCCCAGUAAAAAAAAAAAGACAGACUAACAGACUGGAUAUGUAAACAGGACCUAGCAUUUUGCUGCAUACAGGAAAGGCACCUCAGUGACAAAGACAGACACUACCUCAGAGUAAAAGGUUGGAGUACAAUUUUCCAAGCAAAUGGUCCCAAGAAACAAGAUGGAGUAGCCAUUCCAAUAUUGAAUAAAAUCAGCUCUCAACCAAAAGUUAUCAAAAAAAAAAAAAAAGAUAAGGAAGAACACUUCAUACUGGUCACAGGAAAAAAUCUACCAAGAUGAACUUUCAAUUCUGAACAUCUAUGCUCCAAAUGCAAGAGCACUCACAUUCAUAAGAAACUUUACUAAAGCUCAAAGCACACAUUGCACUCCACACAAUAUUAGUAGGAGACUUCAACACCUCCCUCUCAGCAAUGGAUAGAUCAUGGAAACAGAAACUAAACAAAGACACAGUGAAACUAACAGAAGUUAUGAACUAAAUGGAUCUAACAGAUAUUUAUAGAACAUUUUAUCCUAAAACAAAAGAAUAUAGCUUCUUCUCAGAACCUCACAGUACCUUCUCCAAAGUUGACCAAAUAAUUGGUCACAAAACAGGCCACAACAGAUACAAGAAGAUUGAAAUAAUCCCAUGCACCCUAGCACCCAUGCACCACGGACUAAGGCUGGUCUUGAAUACCAUCAAACGCAAGGGAAAGCACACAUAUCUGUGGAAGCUGAAUAACGCUCUACUCAAUGAUAGCUUGGUCAAGGAAGAAGUAAAGAAAGAAAUUAAAUGCUUUUUAGAAUUUAUUGAAAAUAAAGACACAUCAUCCCAAAACUUAAGAAAGCAGUGGUAAGAGGAAAACUCAUAGUUGUGAGUGCCUCAGAAAAAAAAAAAAAGAAAAGAAAAGAAAAGAAAAGAAAAGAAAAGAAAAGAAAAGAAAAGAAACUGGAGAGAGCUAACACUAGCAGCUUGACAGCACACCUGAAAGCUCUAGAACAAAAAGAAGCAAAUUCACCCAAGAGGAGUAGAUGGCAGGAAAUAAUCAAACCAGAUAUAAACAAAACGAACUAUACAAAGAGUUAACAAGACCAGGAGCUGGUUCUUUGAGAUAAUCAACAAGAUAGAUAAACCAGACUGACCAGAGGGCACAGAAACAGUAUCUAACUUAAUAAAAUCAGAAAUGAAAAGGGAAACAUAAUAACGAAGAAUAUCUUAAAAAACUAUUCUGUUUGUUGAAUAUUAACAGUUGAAAAUAUUAAAAUCAUGUUCUACAAACAGAAAUAUUAUUAAUAUUUUUUCUCACUGCUUGAAAUUAGCAUUUUCUUAAUGUUUAACUUCAAGGAGUUUUUGUUUAAAUAUACUUACUGAUAAAAUAAUUUCGCUCUUAGAAACAUUGAUAAUGUUUUUUAAAUAAACUGACUGUUAGACAAUGUGCACAGAUAUAUAGUGCAUUUUAGAUAAUCUUUCACUAUGCCAGGUGGUAUCAUAUAAGGGCUUUUGAAUAUAUUCCUUAAUGAUUCAUUUUCAUUAUUUUAUGCUCUUUUACUAUGCUUAACUCCUAAAGAAUAUUUCGUAUGUUUUGAAACAAUUUGCUAUUCAACAUUGGAUAUAGGAUCCUCAGUUAUUGAUAGUAUUAAAUAUUGAUUAAUGAUAUUUUUAGGUUAUAAAAGGAUAUGAAUAUAAAAGUUGAACAAUUUUUAUGUAUCAUUUGAUUCUCAAAAUCCUCAAUAUUAUUAAUAUAUUUGAUGUAUAAAAUGCAUUUAAAUAAUAAAAACAUUAAGAAAAAAUACUUUACUCAGUAUGUCUGGAGACAAAUUCACAUUACUGAAAUAGUUAUCCCCCUUCCAAAUUGUACAAAUACUGGCCCGCCCUAUCCUUUUUUUGUAGGGGUUUAGUGACGUUUAAAAAUCCUUGCUGUGACUCAAAACAACCCUGAGAUUCCAUCUCACACCAGUCAGAAUGGCUAAGAUCAAAAAUUCAGGUGACAGCAGAUGCUGGCGAGAAUGUGGAGAAAGAGGAACACUCCUUCAUUGUUGGUGGGAUUGCAAGCUUGUACAACCACUCUGGAAAUCAGUUUGGCGGUUCCUCAGAAAAUUGGACAUAAUACUACCAGAGGAUCCAGCAAUACCUCUCCUGGGCAUAUAUCCAGAAGAUGUUCCAACCGGUUAGAAGGACACAUGCUCCACUAUGUUCAUAGCAGCCUUAUUUAUAAUAGCCAGAAGCUGGAAAGAACCCAGAUGCCCCUCAACAGAGGAAUGGAUACAGAAAAUGUGGUACAUUUAUACAAUGGAGUACUACUCAGCUAUUAAUAGGAAUGAAUUUAUGAAAUUCCUAGGCAAAUGGAUGGACCUGGAGGGCAUCAUCCUGAGUGAGGUAACACAAUCACAAAGGAACUCACACCAUAUGUACUCACUGAUAAGUGAAUAUUAGCCCAAAAACUUAGGAUACCCAAGAUAUAAGAUACAAUUUGUUAAAUGCAUGAAACUCAAGAAGAACGAAGACCAAAGUGUAGACACUGUGCCCCUUCUUAGAAUUGGGAACAAAACACCCAUGGAAAGAGUUACAGAGAUAAAGUUUGGAGCUGUGACGAAAGGAUGGACCAUCUAAAGACUGCCAUAUCCAGGGAUCCAUCCCAUAAUCAGCUUCCAAAUGCUGACACCAUUGCAUACACUAGCAAGAUUUUGCUGAAAGGAACCAGAUAUAGCUGUCUCUUGUGAGACAAUGCUGGGGCCUAGCAAACACAGAAGUGGAUGCUCACAGUCAGCUAUUGGAUGGAUCACAGGGCCCCCAAUGGAGGAACUAGAGAAAGUAUCUAAGGAGCUAAAGGGAUCUGCAACCCUAUAGGUGGAACAACAAUAUGAACUAACCAGUACCCCAGAGCUCUUGACUCUAGCUGAAUAUGUAUCAAAAGAUGGCCUAGUCGGCCAUCACUGGAAAGAGAGGCCCAUUGGACUUACAAACUUUAUAUGCCCCAGUACAGGGGAACGCCAGG